rnacentral:misc_RNA from 1 species
GCUACUACCGAUUGAAUGGUUUAGUGAGGACACCUGAUUGGCGCCGCCGCCCCGGCAACGGAGCAGCGGACUGCCGAAAAGUUGUUCAAACUUGAUCAUUUAGAGGAAGUAAAAGUCGUAACAAGGUUUCUGUAGGUGAACCUGCAGAAGGAUCAAGAACGGGAGAGCACACGUCGGAAGUCCAGUCACGUGGCCGUAUCUAGUAUGUUGUAUUCUGCUUGAAAAAGAAAAAUAAGUCAGUGUUGAAAGCCCCUCGCUUAACGUUAGAACUGCCAUU